GACGAACGCUGGCGGCGUGCCUAAUACAUGCAAGUCGAGCGAAGUUUUUCUGGUGCUUGCACUAGAAAAACUUAGCGGCGAACGGGUGAGUAACACGUAAAGAACCUGCCUCAUAGACUGGGACAACUAUUGGAAACGAUAGCUAAUACCGGAUAACAGUAUUUCUCGCAUGAGAGAUAUUUAAAAGUUGGUUAUGCUAACACUAUGAGAUGGCUUUGCGGCGCAUUAGCUAGUUGGUGGGGUAAAGGCCCACCAAGGCGACGAUGCAUAGCCGACCUGAGAGGGUGAUCGGCCACACUGGGACUGAGACACGGCCCAGACUCCUACGGGAGGCAGCAGUAGGGAAUCUUCCGCAAUGGGCGAAAGCCUGACGGAGCAACGCCGCGUGAGUGAAGAAGGAUUUCGGUUCGUAAAGCUCUGUUGUUAGGGAAGAAUGGAUAUGUAGUAACUAUACGUGUAAGAGACGGUACCUAACCAGAAAGCCACGGCUAACUACGUG
rnacentral:rRNA from 1 species